AAGAGAGAAGGGAGCAGAGGGCAGAAACAAAUAUCCACAACUGAAAACUAAUUUUAGCCCCUGCACAUAUGCUCUUUUAGUGGUGACUAAAUGGACUCAAGUAUUCUGGUCCAUUUCCUUUGCAAUUACCAAGUUUGGGCUCAUAAAUAUCCCAUGGUGUAUUUCUCCAAAUCAAAAUAGAAAUAGACAUAACAGAGCAAAACAUAGAGACUUUCUUGGUUCUUCAGGUGGCUCUCGGCCAAGACCAACUACCAUGCUACCUAAGAUUGAAAUAGUUUGGGUCGUUUGACUCGUUCUUUGACAUUUGGAGCUAACGAUCAGUAAUAUAAAGUCUACAUUGAGGUUGAGCAGGAGGUCAGGUGCAGGGUGGUCAACAUGCGAGCUAGGAUUCCUGCAACUUCAUACUUUUGGUGAGCCCACCUUUGAGAUCGUGGGAUUCACAUUGUUUUUUUUUUUUUUUUGUAUAGUGCGAGCUAGUCUCGCAAUUGUAUUAUUUCAUUCGUAGUUUCAUAGAGGCUUCAUAGAUAAACUUGUAUUACUUUUGGGUUAUAGGAUCCCGUUCGGAUUUGCAAAUAACAUUUUUAUUUUAUGGCUUGGUUAACGAGCUUGUUGAUUAAUAUUGUUCACUUUGGAUUACUCAGUUAAUAUUGAUGUUAAUUAAUUGA